ACCCGGAGAACUGAAACAUCUUAGUAACCGGAGGAAGAGAAAGAAAAUUCGAUUCCCUUAGUAGCGGCGAGCGAAACGGGAAGAGCCCAAACCAACAAGCUUGCUUGUUGGGGUUGUAGGACACUCUAUACGGAGUUACAAAGGACGACAUUAGACGAAUCAUCUGGAAAGAUGAAUCAAAGAAGGUAAUAAUCCUGUAGUCGAAAAUGUUGUCUCUCUUGAGUGGAUCCUGAGUACGACGGAGCACGUGAAAUUCCGUCGGAAUCUGGGAGGACCAUCUCCUAAGGCUAAAUACUCUCUAGUGACCGAUAGUGAACCAGUACCGUGAGGGAAAGGUGAAAAGCACCCCGGAAGGGGAGUGAAAUAGAACCUGAAACCGUGUGCUUACAAGUAGUCAGAGCCCGUUAAUGGGUGAUGGCGUGCCUUUUGUAGAAUGAACCGGCGAGUUACGAUUUGAUGCAAGGUUAAGCAGUAAAUGUGGAGCCGUAGCGAAAGCGAGUCUGAAUAGGGCGUUUAGUAUUUGGUCGUAGACCCGAAACCAGGUGAUCUACCCUUGGUCAGGUUGAAGUUCAGGUAACACUGAAUGGAGGACCGAACCGACUUACGUUGAAAAGUGAGCGGAUGAACUGAGGGUAGCGGAGAAAUUCCAAUCGAACCUGGAGAUAGCUGGUUCUCUCCGAAAUAGCUUUAGGGCUAGCCUCAAGUGAUGAUUAUUGGAGGUAGAGCACUGUUUGGACGAGGGGCCCCUCUCGGGUUACCGAAUUCAGACAAACUCCGAAUGCCAAUUAAUUUAACUUGGGAGUCAGAACAUGGGUGAUAAGGUCCGUGUUCGAAAGGGAAACAGCCCAGACCACCAGCUAAGGUCCCAAAAUAUAUGUUAAGUGGAAAAGGAUGUGGCGUUGCCCAGACAACUAGGAUGUUGGCUUAGAAGCAGCCAUCAUUUAAAGAGUGCGUAAUAGCUCACUAGUCGAGUGACACUGCGCCGAAAAUGUACCGGGGCUAAACAUAUUACCGAAGCUGUGGAUUGUCCUUUGGACAAUGGUAGGAGAGCGUUCUAAGGGCGUUGAAGCAUGAUCGUAAGGACAUGUGGAGCGCUUAGAAGUGAGAAUGCCGGUGUGAGUAGCGAAAGACGGGUGAGAAUCCCGUCCACCGAUUGACUAAGGUUUCCAGAGGAAGGCUCGUCCGCUCUGGGUUAGUCGGGUCCUAAGCUGAGGCCGACAGGCGUAGGCGAUGGAUAACAGGUUGAUAUUCCUGUACCACCUAUAAUCGUUUUAAUCGAUGGGGGGACGCAGUAGGAUAGGCGAAGCGUGCGAUUGGAUUGCACGUCUAAGCAGUAAGGCUGAGUAUUAGGCAAAUCCGGUACUCGUUAAGGCUGAGCUGUGAUGGGGAGAAGACAUUGUGUCUUCGAGUCGUUGAUUUCACACUGCCGAGAAAAGCCUCUAGAUAGAAAAUAGGUGCCCGUACCGCAAACCGACACAGGUAGUCAAGAUGAGAAUUCUAAGGUGAGCGAGCGAACUCUCGUUAAGGAACUCGGCAAAAUGACCCCGUAACUUCGGGAGAAGGGGUGCUCUUUAGGGUUAACGCCCAGAAGAGCCGCAGUGAAUAGGCCCAAGCGACUGUUUAUCAAAAACACAGGUCUCUGCUAAACCGUAAGGUGAUGUAUAGGGGCUGACGCCUGCCCGGUGCUGGAAGGUUAAGAGGAGUGGUUAGCUUCUGCGAAGCUACGAAUCGAAGCCCCAGUAAACGGCGGCCGUAACUAUAACGGUCCUAAGGUAGCGAAAUUCCUUGUCGGGUAAGUUCCGACCCGCACGAAAGGCGUAACGAUUUGGGCACUGUCUCAACGAGAGACUCGGUGAAAUCAUAGUACCUGUGAAGAUGCAGGUUACCCGCGACAGGACGGAAAGACCCCGUGGAGCUUUACUGUAGCCUGAUAUUGAAAUUCGGCACAGCUUGUACAGGAUAGGUAGGAGCCUUUGAAACGUGAGCGCUAGCUUACGUGGAGGCGCUGGUGGGAUACUACCCUAGCUGUGUUGGCUUUCUAACCCGCACCACUUAUCGUGGUGGGAGACAGUGUCAGGCGGGCAGUUUGACUGGGGCGGUCGCCUCCUAAAAGGUAACGGAGGCGCUCAAAGGUUCCCUCAGAAUGGUUGGAAAUCAUUCAUAGAGUGUAAAGGCAUAAGGGAGCUUGACUGCGAGACCUACAAGUCGAGCAGGGUCGAAAGACGGACUUAGUGAUCCGGUGGUUCCGCAUGGAAGGGCCAUCGCUCAACGGAUAAAAGCUACCCCGGGGAUAACAGGCUUAUCUCCCCCAAGAGUUCACAUCGACGGGGAGGUUUGGCACCUCGAUGUCGGCUCAUCGCAUCCUGGGGCUGUAGUCGGUCCCAAGGGUUGGGCUGUUCGCCCAUUAAAGCGGUACGCGAGCUGGGUUCAGAACGUCGUGAGACAGUUCGGUCCCUAUCCGUCGUGGGCGUAGGAAAUUUGAGAGGAGCUGUCCUUAGUACGAGAGGACCGGGAUGGACAUACCUCUGGUGUACCAGUUGUCGUGCCAACGGCAUAGCUGGGUAGCUAUGUGUGGACGGGAUAAGUGCUGAAAGCAUCUAAGCAUGAAGCCCCCCUCAAGAUGAGAUUUCCCAACUUCGGUUAUAAGAUCCCUCAAAGAUGAUGAGGUUAAUAGGUUCGAGGUGGAAGCAUGGUGACAUGUGGAGCUGACGAAUACUAAUCGAUCGAAGACUUAAUCAA
rnacentral:rRNA from 1 species